rnacentral:rRNA from 2 species
GACUGCUGGAGCGGUUGGAAGUGAGAAUGCCGGUAUGAGUAGCGAAAAGGAGGGUGAGAAUCCCUCCCGCCGAAAGCCUAAGGAUUCCUGAGGAAGGCUCGUCCGCUCAGGGUAAGUCGGGACCUAAGGCGAGGCCGAAAGGCGUAGUCGAUGGACAACAGGUUGAAAUUCCUGUACCACCGAGCAUCGCUUGAGCGAAGUGGUGACGCAGAAGGGUAGGUCAUCACCCGGAUGGAUGUGGGUGUCCAAGCGUGUAGAGGGCAAGGUAGGCAAAUCCGCCUUGCAAAACCUUGAGGCGUGAUGGGGAGGCGAAAUUUAGUAGCCGAACUGACUGAUCCCAUGCUGCCGAGAAAAGCCGCUAGCGAGAUGCAAGGUGCCCGUACCGCAAACCGACACAGGUAGGCGAGGAGAGAAUCCUAAGGCGCGCGAGAGAACCCCUGUUAAGGAACUCGGCAAAAUGACUCCGUAACUUCGGGAGAAGGAGUGCCUAAGUAGUGUGAAGUUGAACAGAUGGAGCACGAACAGGCCGCAGAGAAAUGGCCCAAGCGACUGUUUACCAAAAACACAGGUCUCUGCUAAGUGGAAACACGAAGUAUAGGGGCUGACGCCUGCCCAAUGCCGGAAGGUUAAGGGGAGAGGUUAGCGCAAGCGAAGCUUCGAACCGAAGCCCCGGUCAAUGGCGGCCGUAACUAUAACGGUCCUAAGGUAGCGAAAUUCCUUGUCGGGUAAGUUCCGACCUGCACGAAAGGCGUAACGACUUGGGCGCUGUCUCGACGGGGGGCUCGGCGAAAUUGUAGUACCUGUGAAGAUGCAGGUUACCCGCGACAAGACGGAAAGACCCCGUGGAGCUUUACUGCAGCUUGGUAUUGAAUUUUGGUAUGGAAUGUAUAGGAUAGGUGGGAGACUUAGAAGCCGGGACGCUAGUUUCGGUGGAGUCGUCGGUGGAAUACCACUCUUUUCAUGCUAGAAUUCUAACUGGCGGCCCUGAAUCGGGUCACAGGACAGUAUCAGGCGGGCAGUUUGACUGGGGCGGUCGCCUCCUAAAAGGUAACGGAGGCGCCCAAAGGUUCCCUCGGUGCGGAUGGAAAUCGCACGAGAGAGUGUAAAGGCAGAAGGGAGCUUGACUGCGAGACGGACAUGUCGAGCAGGUACGAAAGUAGGGCUUAGUGAUCCGGUGGUUCUGAGUGGAAGGGCCAUCGCUCAACGGAUAAAAGCUACCCCGGGGAUAACAGGCUUAUCUCCCCCAAGAGUUCACAUCGACGGGGANNNNNGCGGUACGCGAGCUGGGUUCAGAACGUCGUGAGACAGUUCGGUCCCUAUCUGUCGCGGGCGUAGGAGAUUUGAGAGGAUCUGUCCCUAGUACGAGAGGACCGGGAUGGACGCACCGCUGGCUUACCAGUUGUCCCGCCAGGGGCACGGCUGGCACCCCAAGUGCGGAGUGGAUAAGCGCUGAAAGCAUCUAAGCGCGAAGCCCACCUCAAGAUGAGAUCUCCCACAGCGUUAAGCUGGUAAGACCCCUCAUAGAAGAUGAGGUAGAUAGGCCGGAGGUGUAAGGUCAGUGAUGGCUUGAGCUGUCCGGUACUAAUGGUUCGAGGGCUUGACCUU